GAUGAACGCUGGCGGCGUGCCUAAUACAUGCAAGUCGAGCGAACAGACGAGGAGCUUGCUCCUCUGACGUUAGCGGCGGACGGGUGAGUAACACGUGGAUAACCUACCUAUAAGACUGGGAUAACUUCGGGAAACCGGAGCUAAUACCGGAUAAUAUAUUGAACCGCAUGGUUCAAUAGUGAAAGACGGUUUUGCUGUCACUUAUAGAUGGAUCCGCGCCGCAUUAGCUAGUUGGUAAGGUAACGGCUUACCAAGGCAACGAUGUGUAGCCGACCUGAGAGGGUGAUCGGCCACACUGGAACUGAGACACGGUCCAGACUCCUACGGGAGGCAGCAGUAGGGAAUCUUCCGCAAUGGGCGAAAGCCUGACGGAGCAACGCCGCGUGAGUGAUGAAGGUCUUCGGAUCGUAAAACUCUGUUAUUAGGGAAGAACAAAUGUGUAAGUAACUAUGCACGUCUUGACGGUACCUAAUCAGAAAGCCACGGCUAACUACGCG
rnacentral:rRNA from 1 species